UACGUAGGGUGCAGGCGUUAAUCGGAAUUACUGGGCGUAAAGCGUGCGCAGGCGGUUUCUUAAGUCAGAUGUGAAAGCCCCGGGCUUAACCUGGGAACCGCGCUUGAGACUGGAGAACUAGAGUUCGGGAGAGGAUGGUGGAAUUCCCAGUGUAGAGGUGAAAUUCGUAGAUAUUGGGAAGAACACCGAUGGCGAAGGCAGCCAUCUGGACCGACACUGACGCUGAGGCGCGAAAGCGUGGGGAGCAAACAGG
rnacentral:rRNA from 1 species